UACGGGGGGAGCAAGCGUUGUUCGGAUUUACUGGGCGUAAAGGGCGCGUAGGCGGCCACCUCAAGCCAGUUGUGAAAGCUCUGGGCUUAACCCAGAAAGGUCAGCUGAUACUGCGGGGCUAGAGUGCAGAAGGGGCAACUGGAAUUCUCGGUGUAGCGGUGAAAUGCGUAGAUAUCGAGAGGAACACCUGCGGCGAAGGCGGGUUGCUGGGCUGACACUGACGCUGACAGCGCGAAAGCUAGGGGAGCGAACGGG
rnacentral:rRNA from 1 species